rnacentral:rRNA from 1 species
GGCUUAAUGAUAAUAAUUUUAAGUCUAUCUGCCCAAUGAUUUUAAUUUAAUGGCUGCAGUAUAACUAACUGUACAAAGGUAGCAUAAUCAAUUGUUUUUUAAUUGGAAACUGGAAUGAAAGAAUUAAUGAGAUGUACACUGUCUCAUAUAUAUGUUAUAAAAUUAAAUUUUUAGUAAGAAUGCUAAAAUAGAUUUAUGGGACGAUAAGACCCUAUAGAAUUUUAUAUAAAUAUUUAAAUUAAAUUAAUUUUUAAAUAUUAAUAUUUAAUUGGGAGGAUUGGUAAAUUUAAUAAACUUUAUUUAAAAAAUGAACUUUAAUUUAAGAAUAAUUAAUGAUUUUGUAUUAUAGAUUAUAAGAAAAAAUUACCUUAGGGAUAACAGCGUAAUAUCUUUUUAAAGAUCAUAUUGAUAAAGAUGAUUGCGACCUCGAUGUUGAAUUAAGAUAAAUUUUAAAUGGAGAAGUUUAAUAAUUAAGUCUGUUCGACUUUUAAAAUCUUACAUGAUUUGAGUUCAAAUCGACGUGAGU